GGAGUUGUCACCCAGCCUGUAAGAAAGGUUCCCCCAGGCCCCAUGCCAGCCCCAUAGCACUACCCACUCCACGACUUCUGCUGCACCCCACUGCUGGGGUGAUUGUUCCAAUGUGACUGAACACUUCAAACUCCAUCUGGCUGUUACUGAGGCGGAGACAAGGGUGAUGAUUGGCUUUCUGGGGAGAGAGACGUCUUGUGAUUGGUUGAAUCUCUGAAGCUUUUGAAGCUGUGAGAGGAGGCUCCCACGGAGGCUGGGUAAGCAGCCG
rnacentral:lncRNA from 1 species